CUGCCUAUGAGCCACAAGCACGGGUUACUCCGGCUUCGCUGUAAGGACAGGGACAAUGCUGAUGGACUGCUGUGGAUAAAUGAUGUUCGUUCUGCACCUUGAGGGUGGGAUGCUGCCUUGCACAGAGGUCAUGUCUUCCUCCACAUCCAGCACCGAUGGGGCUGUAUGGAACACCACACCAAUGGACUGCUGUGCCAACAACAUGUUGGGUUGGAGGUAUGCAAUUGCCAUCUGGGUACAGUCCCUGUGGCCAAACCCAAUGGCGAUGUAGGACACAAGGGUGGCUGCCCAUCGCCGCUCCCUCCGGAAAGGAGCCAGACAGGAGAGAAAUCACUGCUGUCCAUGCCCCAAAAUCAAGAUGUGAAGUGGACAAGGCUCUGUUCUGCUGUUCCCUCUGCUGAGAUGUCAGAAGGACUCCCCAGGCAUCCAUCCACACUGAACACCUCCAUGAGACCUCUCUGCCCCAGGAAGCAGGAAGAUGCCUUUAUAUGUCCCCUUUUAGCAGCUGCUGCAAACUUCUUUUAUGCUAAAGCACGUGGAGCCGCGUUGAUUUAUUUAGCAGCGUCUCUGGAGGCUUCUUCAAGGUUAAGAUGUAGACAUCGCAUGUUAGGCUGGGCUGAAUGCUGGCAGGAAAAGACAUUUGGCUCUUCUAAUUGGAAAAACACGCCGCUUUUAUCACCCCGAGGCCAAGCCUCUACCACAGCCACACAGCACAGGGGAACACAGCGGCUCAGCCCUGGGUCCCCAGAAAGGAGCACCGUCCCCUCACUGCCCUCCAGGUGCCUCCCAGCCCGCAUUUUGCUGAUUGUGCCUAUUUUUUUGGCGGGGUGUGGGGCUCUCCCUAAGGCAUGGCAUGGCGGGAGGUGGUGGUCAGGCAAGGAUGAACCAGGUCCCCUUCCCUAUGUCCCCAUCACCAUUGCUCCCAGUGCUGGCGGGCUGGAGGUAGGGAGCCGCGAAGGGAAGGUGCGGGCUGAGGUUUAGAAAUCAUGAUGUGUGAAUUGAAAUGGGAAGCAAUGGAUCUCAGGAAUCACCGCAACUGCUACAAGGUGUUCCUGAAGCUGUCAGCAAGACAUCUGCCCGCUCGCCGCGGCUGCGGGAGGACGGGGAGCGGAGGAGCGCCGGGAGCGUGGGGUCCUGCAGUGGGGCUGGAGAGACCCCAGUGGGGCAGCAGUGUGGUUUGGGGUGGAAAAAGGAGGAGAAUGGCUCUUGGGAGGGCCCUGGAGCAAAGCCCUGGCUGCGGAGCUCUCUCCUCGUAACUCAUCCCGGGGCGACCACGAGAGGGAUGCCGCCGGCCCCAGCCCGCGAUUUACGGCUCAGGGGGAAGAAAUGCAGCCGCUCUGUGAGUGCACUCCAGGCAGCUGCUGCUGUCUUCUUCCAUCCGGAGCUCAGCACUCACACUGCCCAUCGCAAGGUGGAUGCAUGGCUGGGGGUUCCAGAACAGAAAGUCAGCCCUGAUCCCAUCCCGCUGCACAUCCCGACGGCCUUGGGCUGUGAGUCCCACUCCCAGGCCAUGUGGGCCCAUGUUGCCCUUUGACUUCAGCCAUGUGCACAUCCCAGCACCGAGAGGGCUCUGAGGCCACGAGGAGCCAGAAAUAACCCAGCCCUGCGAUGCUGAAGGGACAUGAACUGUGAUUGAUUGCAGGUCAGCCCCGGUGGUGCACCCAUCCCUGCUGAGUGCUCAGCACCGGUCACGGAGCUGUCAGCCACGCUGUGCCUCAGUUUCCCCACUGCUGCUGGCUGCCAUGGGCUGCGUGCUGAGUUUCGGUAAGUUCUGAUUGAGAAAAGCAAAAGAGAAAGAGUAAAUCUGCACAGUGGGGUGCUGACAUCCACCUGAGCCUGCUGAGGGCUGCACUAAGAUUUUGGGGCUGGGGGUACUGUCUGUGCCAGCCUGCACCCACAGCCCUCCCUUUCACUCACAGCUCCAAACAAACCCAGGGAGCACACGUGACCUUCAGUGUAUAGCUUAAGGCUUUUAAAGCUCUGCUCUAAUUCUUCUCACUCCCCACACAUCCAUCCCCUGCACCAGCCUCCUCAUUUCUCUUUCCCUACCGUAAACUUAUCCCCUUUCUAAAGUGCCCGGAGAAGAUGCUGUGGAUGAAAUGUUACUUUAGCUUAAUUUCCUAUUCUUAACAUAUGCUUUAAUUAAUGUCAUUUUCUUUGAUUCACUGCCAACAUGCCAGCACAGCACUUCCUUCUUUUCCCAACCUUUACUAUAACCCUGUGGCUAGGGAAGGGUGCUCAUGUGUGAAACACUCACCGAUGUCUCUCAGUGAGGAUUCUUGCAGCUGAAGCUUCAGUGCAGAAUGGCAAAGCAGGGGAAUGGGGAAGGGACACCCAGCUGCUGAUUUCCCACUGCACUGAGCGCUGGGGGCACAGUGGGUGUGAACAGCACCUCCUGCCACCCCUAUGGGCUGUAAAAAUUCCACCCUAUCCAUUUAUUUCAGGCGCAGUGUGUCUAAGAAGCCCCUUCCCCAUCCAUCUCGGUGUUCCCACUGCACAACACGGAGCACACCCACUGAUGAAGGCACACAGCAUCCUCAUCUGGCCGGGCUGCCUCAGCCACGUCGGUACUCAGAGCUACAGAUACAGAGGUAAGGCUGCAUUUUUGGUGAUCCUUUGUCCCCUGUUUUGCAGGAGCCAGCUGGGUCUCCCACCACAGACAGGGAAUUGCUGUGGGCUCCCUGUGCCCCAGAGCAGCAUUGAGGCAUUGAGCCAUUGCCCCUCCUGACCCCAGACCCUGCACACAGCAGGGCCUGAAAUGGCCCUUUCCCAGACAUCUCCGUAAGCAAUGCCUUCAGUCUCUGCUUAAUGACUCCCAGCCAUCCUUCCUCCUUGCAGAAGCCAGCAGCACAGCAGGCAGGGCAGAUCCCCAGCUCCUGCUCCCCCCAUUCCAAACAGCAACUUUGGGGUCUCACAGCAAACCCCAUCCCACCAGCAGCAAACCCCCUAUUUCCAGGCCUGGCCCUGGUUUGUUCUCAUUUCCUUUCCUUACUGAGCCUCCCCCCAGGAAUGGGACGAUGUCUUUUACAGCUCUCCCUGCUUCCAGUGUAUCAGAAGCAUGCCAAGACAUUGCCCUCUCCCAGGGGUGAGGAGCAAAGUGCCCAAUGUGGAGACGAGAACUGAUCUGGUGCUGCUGCAGCUGAGGGGCACAGUGCAGGGCCACAGCCACGUGGGGACUGGGAUUGAACCCGGUGCAAGAAGCCCAGGAGGAAAUCCCAUCCCAAUGCUAUGGGGCAGAAACCCAAUGCUGCCCCCAAAAUCUUUCCCCACAGCCUCCAUCCUGCUGCCUUCCCCCCCAGUCCUCCUUCUCUCACCUUGCCUUCCUCCAUUGCAUCCAUCCUCCUCUCUGGUGCCUCUUGCUCCAUCUCUGGGCACUGCUUUCCCCUCCCCUCCUCCCUUCCCAACCCCUGAGCUCCAGCUAGUUUAGAUCUGCCCUGGGGUGAUGUAGGGGGGAACAGGGGCAGCACUGACCCCUCUCCAUACUCCCAGUUUGGCUCAGUCUGAGCCCUAUGGUUGGGAUGUCCCUCCCACACCCAGGGCUGCUGGCAGCAUCUGGCCCCACUCCAGAGAGGAGGAGGAGGUGGAAGAGGAGAUUCCCCCAUGGGCAGCACUGUGGUGCAAAAGGCUGAAAGGAGCUCUGGCCAGGAGCAGGGCCUUGUGUGGAGGUGGUGGGUGUGAGGAUGGCUGAGGAUGCUUUUGCCUAAAGAGCAGUGGGAUGUGAAGGCAAACAGUGGGAACAUUGCUCCUGGAGCGUGGUGGUGCUGCCCAGGCACUGCCCUGCUCUGCCUGUGAGCGUUGGGACCCAGCCCAUGCUGUGGUGAGCACAGCAUUUGAAUGCAGCCAACUGACCCCCAGGGCCUCAGGCAGUGCUGCAGAGCAGUGCUGGGGCUCACCAUGCAUCCUUGCUCAGUGCCAGGGUGUGCACAGUGCUGGGCAUGGCUCACACUGUCCGUUCUCUGCUCACCCUGCAGGACAGAUAUUGCCUAUAGCAAAAAAUUACCCUCCAUAGCAAAAAUACAACAAUCUCUACGGGCAGGACUCGUUCUGUGCCCUCCGUCCCAGCAUGACGAUACCCACAGUGCUCCUACAGCACCACAGGGCAGUUCCCUGCUCUGGUGCAGGGCUUUGGGAUGAGGGUCCCCUCUCCUCCUCCUGCUCAGUGAGCGAUGCCUUCACAUGGCUGUCCCAAAGCUCCAGGCCCACUCAGCCCCGUGCUGCAACGCACAGAGCCGGAACAAAGCCGUGCUGCCUCAAAUUCCUCCAGCGCCGGGCUCGGGGCUCUGUGCUGCUUUCAGUUCCUAAAGCCAGCUUCGCGCUGUGCCCUGUCGGCCCACUCCCACGCUCCAGCACGGGGUAUCUUGACAGAUUGUUUGGUGGUUUGUUUGUUUGUUUUCUAUUUUAUAAUAAAAGGAAAAAAAGCGAUUGCAAAGCAGAAAGGACCGUUUUGGGGGUACAUUUGGCAGUGAAAUCAGAGCUCGGGCUGGGAACCAGCAGGACAGCCUCCCUGCAGCCUCCCUGCGAUGCUCUCCAUGCACCGAACCCCGCACCACUCCUUCCUACACCAUCCCCCCGCUCACACCAAUGACUUUUAUUUUCGUACACGAAAAAGAAAACGCACAACGGAUUGGGAGCGUUAUUUUUCUGAACGCCACUUCGAAGAGUAAAAAUCUGAAAGCGUAAAUCCGGAGCAUCGUGGCAAAAUCCGGGCUCGGUUUAAAAACUAAAAGGGUUCUGCGAUUGUUUCUUUUCGUUUGUGAAAUAAUUCAACCCUCACCAAUAUUCCGGGCAGACGACCGCCGUUUAAUCUCAGCGGUCGCACAACGAACUGAGAUUCCGAGGGGGUGAGAGCGUUCGGCGCAACGUAACUAUCAAAUAUCCCCCGAAGACUUAAAGCAAACCACACGUGGCUGCUUCUCUCGCUGCCCCACUGCCCGCAGCCAUCGGUGCAGGACGGAGGACCGCAGCGCUUCGCAGUGCCAUUAAGCAUUCGUUAAAACAUUUACUCGAUGGGCCGUAACAAAGCGCCGGAGCCGCGGGCGCACGCAGAGACUCCAUCGGACGGUUCUGCGGUGCAAAACCGUCGCGUUCAGAGCCGCGCAGCCCUCAGUCCCCUCUCAUCGCACCUCUCUCGGGCAGAUGCUGGAGGUGGAAGGGCUGCAGCUUACCCCGCUUUCUGCCGUCGGUUCUGGGCGUUCCGAUUUCGGGUUCCCCUCUCGGCCCGGAGCGCAGUGCCCGGCCCGUGGCAUCAGAGCCUGAGGGAUGGAGGGGGAAAGCAACGUGAGCCAGAAGCUCGCAGCGAGGUCUGUAAGUCCUUGUAUGGCAGAAAUAAACGUAUUACACCGUUAUUAGAGAUUUGGCGCUGGCCCUGUCGAGAAGCCCGGCUUUGGUGCUCUGCGAUUCCUCCCGAGAACAGAACUCAGCGGUUGCUCUCCGUACUCGCCGCGUUUUCUCUGGCCAAAUCCUGCCACCUUUUCUCAGCCCUCAGCCAUUCAAACCCGCAGCGGCGGUGCGAACCGCUGCGCUCCCGCUGCAGCCGACAGCUCCGUGC
rnacentral:lncRNA from 1 species